GUCGCUGUCCAGGAAGAUCUCCCCCGGGGGGUAGUCGCCAUCACUGGCCGCUGGAGGGAGAGUCACAGCCCCGUCACCCCGCACUGAGGAGCCCCCACGCCAAGACCCCAUCCAGAGCUCCAGUCCUGGUGCAGGACUGAGCGGGAAGCAACCACCGGACAGCGCCUCCCUGGACUCUCCGCACUGGCUCCUGGCCAACGGCGGGGGCCGGGUGCUCACCGGGGAUGCUGGAGAUGCACAGCACGUGGGCGUUGCACACGGUGAACUGGUCCACGACGGUACCCGGCUGGUUGGCGUCGAUGAUCACCACCUUGCUGGUGGUCAGGGUGCUGACUGGGCACAGCAGAGACAUCUGGACGGCAGAAGCAGAAGGCAGCCCUGGCCCCGCCUGCCACUCUAACCUUCUUCUUCUCCGGGGACGCGUGGUUGCUCUUGGCCUCUCCUUCUACUUCCCGAUCACAGGCUCCCACCAGGAAGGACCCAGCACCCUUAAUCCCCCCAGAAGAGAGGGAAGUGUGGGGGCAGUCAGCCUCAAUCCUGCCCCCAGGACCUCCUAGACCGACCGCAGCUCAGACGAGACAGGAGCACUCUUCAGGGCCCUGCAGGAGGCCCACCUGAUCAUCUCGGUCCAUCGCACGGCCUCCUGCAGCUCCAUCAGCCGCUCCUUGUACUGGUUGCGCUCCAUGAGCACGCGGGCCAUCUCCACCCGCGUGAAGCGGCGGCGCUGCGCCAUAGGGAUCUUGUCCUGCGGGGAGAGCACAGCUGCUCAGCCAGCGAGGGGCAGCCUCUGGGAGGGGAGCACCCGAGGGAGCUUCCCCACAGAGCUUCAGGCAAAUGCCGUGGGGAGGGGUGGGCACGGGAACAGGAGCCGCCUGCCCCGACAGGGCCCCGUUCUUUCCAGAAGGCCACGUGACACACCCGAGGGCUACAACACACACAGUGUGUUUCCUAUACGCUCCCAGGCCCCCUGGCAAUCCCACAUGCCCUGGUCAACGCUAACAGGUGGGACUGGCCGUGGUGGCACAGCAGGAAGAGAGGUUCUGGGAAGGUCUGGUGAGCAGGACCCUGGUCUCUACGUUGGAACUGGACACGUGAGGUACCGGCGGAUCUGCACGGGAUCUGCCGUCCCUGGCAGGACUGUCUCCUCAUGCAGCCCUCCCGCGGCUGGUCUCCCUGAGUGCCCCCACCACUGGCCCUCGGAGUUCACAGAGCAGCUGGAGCUGAGGGGCUGCAUGGGAUGGGCGAGGUGAGCAGCUCGUUUCCCAAGUGCCUGUUAGGGGAUCGGCAUCCUGCUACGUGCACCACACGACCCCCCGGAUAACAGCUGAGGCGCGGUGAGGCCGGCGUCCAAACUUCCCCUCGGGAUAAAGACCCAGGCCUGCCCUCUCCGUAAGGAAGGUGGCCAGGUUGCUGGGCUGGGGCCCCUGUUCUGGAGAGGACCUGGGAAGUGCAAAGACCCCUACAAACCCUUCUCCACAGCCACCCUGGGAACAAUCAGUUACAAACCCCCAGAGAGCAGAGGGGCAGAGGGCUUUCCUCAGAACAUUCCAUGCACCUCCGGGGGAUUGUAAGGGUAGAUGAGGGGUCUGAGGGCCUCAGAUACUCAAGCUGUUCUGUCUCGGGGCAGCAGCUGGCCCGGGGAAGCAGGGAGACCCCACUUGUGACUGUGCAAUCCACAUCUGCUAGGACCUGGAUGAGAGGGGGCACCCUGCAGAGAGGGGGUAGGUUCUGACCUCACAAAGUCAUGGGGGCAGUGGAGGGUGCUGCUGGGUGCUGUCACACAGGAGGGGUGAGGAGGGCCCUGAGACCCAGAAGAACAAGCGCACCCCAGGAGCCCGCCCACGUUGCCCGCCCCUAUGCCCGCAUGUGAAUAGUGAAAUAUACCAAUUCUGUACAGAGACAGCUGCUUACAUCCUCCACCUCUUCUUUGGGUUCAUGGUGGGCAAUGAUGGC